rnacentral:lncRNA from 1 species
UGAGUCCUGCAGGUGUGCUCAGGUGUGUGCAGGUGAGUCCUGACAGGUGUGUGCAGGUGUGUGCAGGUGAGUCCUGACAGGUGUGUGCAGGUGAGUCCUGCAGGUGUGCUCAGGUGUGCUCAGGGGAGCCCCAC